UUCUGUCAAAGAUACUCGAAUAGUGACUGGAUAGGAAACUGCGAAGCGGACAAUAGAACAUGUUACGCAUCACUGCUUAUUCAAACUUGUAGGGAAUGAUCAUUUCCGGUUUGUUUGGUUUUGACUGAUAAUGACGAGCUUCGCAGCUAUUCGGCACGGUAGUUAACUGUUGUAGACUUACCAAGAUAAGCUAAUUUGUCCCUUGUUACGUUUUCAACGAAAAAUGAAAGAAAAAAGGAGCGGAGAACGCAGCUUUUGUGUAAUUUAAAAAGAUGCGAUAGGAGUUUCAACGCAGAGAGGGCCUACAUCUGCGCAAGGCAUUUUGAUCAACAUUGCUUUAGGAUCGGAAAGACUGGAAGAAAAGACCUCCUUGUUGGAAGUUUGCCUACACAGUUCUUACAUAAAAGAAGUCAUGAAAAUAACCAAGGGAAACAAAGGCAUGAGCUUGAAAGACUUUUUCAAGAGGUGCCCUUACCAGUGCUUUACAAAUGAAGAGGUUUCA